rnacentral:rRNA from 1 species
UAACAUGAGAGUUUGAUCCUGGCUCAGGAUGAACGCUGGCGGCGUGCUUAACACAUGCAAGUCGAACGGA